rnacentral:rRNA from 1 species
ACCCGUCUUGAAACACGGACCAAGGAGUCUAACAUGCGCGCGAGUCGUUGGGUCGGACACGCUCCGCUAAACCCAUAGGCGCAAUGAAAGUGAAGGUUACCCUUGCGGGACCGAGGGAGGACGGAGGCGUCGAAUUCGGCGCCUCCCGCACUCCCGGGGCGUCUGAUUCCUCUUCUUGAGGGAAGGCGCACCCAGAGCGCACACGUUGGGACCCGAAAGAUGGUGAACUAU